GUGCACGGGCUUUAACUAUGAAGUGUGCCACAAAGCUAAAUAGAAAAAAGCUUGUUGUAACAUGUUUACAGAUUUAAAAUGAGAAAAUGUAGUGUUUUUUGUAGAACACUGAAACCGUGAACUAUAGUGCCAUCACAGACCCACUGUAGAACUGACCACCUAACACCAACAAACCAACCUAAAGAGACAGUAUGAGGAAUGUAAGGAAUUAAAUGUAAACCAUGUAAAAUAUGUUGCAGACAAAUGGUUUUGGAUGAGAAAGUCUGCAGGGCAGAUCAGUCGGAGUCCAGACCGGGGGGAGAAGACGCUGAAGAUCACCAGGUAUAUGAACCUGCCGGGCCCAGAUACUCGUCUCACACACACACACACACACACACACACACACACACACACUCAGUCCAGCUUCUCCUUGUGAACCAGUUUGGGGGCGUCCACAAAGUCUUGGCCG